GCCAUGACCAAAUCACUCCAGAAUGCGCCCCGUCUCUUCAGAUAGCGGAAGCUAAGCAGGGCUGGGCCUGGAUAAUACUUGAAUGGGUGAACACAGCGCAUGAAACAGGUGCUCUAGGCU
rnacentral:rRNA from 1 species